CACAAGCAAGAGACGUACGGCGGCUGGCGGGACCGUCCACACGCUCGCAGAAGCGAGAGCCAGCCGUACGGCGGCUGGCAGGACCGACCGCACGCUCGCCUCGCCUUCCAUCCGGCGCAACGCUUGAUAUGGUUGGCUCCCGUUGCUUUAGUGCCGUUACGUCUACAGUUGACGCACUUCCCGAUUCUGGAACGGUCUCUGGUGACAGGGGUGGCAAAAGGCAGCAAACCUUGGCCCAUCCAAUGGAAAGCAUCCAAAUAAACAAAAGCGUGAAGGCAUUUGACAAUUCAAAUAUUCUUUUGAACAAUCCCAUAUGUUCUUUUGGAAGACUUAAAAAGGGCUGUCGAGUUCACGACGCAGACAUCAACUGUACUCGUGCGUCGGCAGCACGCUCUUCAAAAAUGCUUCCUACACAUGGGUUCAAUUGUUGAGAGCCAACCUUGCAUUUGGUCAAUUCCUGCAGCGUGGGGAAAAGCAGAUCGAAUCUGGCCUGGCCUGGA